rnacentral:pre_miRNA from 1 species
AGUGGAAUUACUGGUUCAUAUGGUAACUGUUAUAUUUUUUUAGAAACUGCGAAACUGUUUUCCAAAGUGGCUGCACCAUUUUACAUUUCCACCAGCAAU